CCCUGCAAACCAAGCAUGAUACAUUUCAAAGACGCAAAAGAAGCUUCAAUUGAAGUACAUCAUUGAGUCCAAUCCUCAAAUUUUGCCUCGCCGCACGCAAAAUAUGAAGCACAAGAGUGAGUCUGUACUUAUAGCCUAAUUUGCCCAUUGACACUCUAAUUUGCAACAAAUUUGGUGUGAGAGACGACAAUAUUUGCAAAAUGAGAUAUGUCACUCCUUUGCCAUCUCUACUGCAAACUAAGGUACAAGAGAGAAAAGAGUAGAUGAUCGGCGCCUUGGCACCGAGGUGCAUAACGAGUCCACCCUUGUCCACGUGGUUGUGCGCACCCAUGAGAUACACACGGUGCGCCAGUGCCAUGCCUGUCAUCUACAAGUAUGAGCAAGAUGGUUGGGGAAAAUUAUGGAACUAGGAAGGGAACCUGCUAGCUAGCUCUGUGCCCCUGGCCACGCCAUAGUCUAACAGAAACCACUCCUAGAUCCCUGGCCACGCCACUUAUACAUGCUCAACACAGCGCCAUGCACCUUGCAACGACCAUGGCCUGUGAUGUUAGGCCCUGUUUCAUGACACAGGUCCUUCAUCAACUGCAGAUUGUCGCAGCUAAGUGCGUUACUGAGCACGAACUAGACGGCAAGGUAGAACGUAUCAAGGAUAAGCUUGUACUCCAGAUGCACCCCACUCCCAUGGCACUAGUUUGAGGACUAUAUGUAUUCAAUAUCAUCGUGGCUGUAAAUGUUAUGCCCUCGAAGCGCGUUGUUUCUUGUCUUACUGAUGGACGUAAACAUAUCAAGCACAAGAGUCUAGUUUUAUGUCAUUGUGCAAGCAGGAUAUAUAUAUAGACAUAGGAAAUAUAUAUAUAGGCACUCUCUGAGUCGAUCACAUAAUAGGAAUUCAUGUUUUCUUAAUUAGACACCUAAGCUAACCAUCCAUCAGGUAGGCCAGCCACAUCACAUGCGUUUUAUUCAACACCACACACAUGCAGCUGCUGCGGCCAGAGUACUUUCUUGAGGACUACCCCCACGCAGCCGGUACUUGUUGAGCA
rnacentral:lncRNA from 1 species